rnacentral:rRNA from 1 species
GACGAACGCUGGCGGCGUGCUUAACACAUGCAAGUCGAACGGAAAGGCCUUGCUUUUGUGGGGUGCUCGAGUGGCGAACGGGUGAGUAACACGUGAGUAACCUGCCCUUUCCUUUGGGAUAACUGCAGGAAACUGGGGCUACUACCGCAUAUUAGCUCCUGCUGCGUGGGGUGGUUUGGAAAGUUUCGGCGGUUGGGGAUGGACUCGCGGCUUAUCAGCUUGUUGGUGGGGUUGUGGCUUGCCUAGGCUUCGACGGGUAGUCGGCCGGAGAGUGUGCCCGGCCACACUGGGACGGAGAUACGGCCCAGACUCAGUGGGGAGGCAGGAGCGGGGAAUAGAGGACAAUGGGCGGGAGGCUGAUGCAGCAACGCCGCGUGCGGGAUGAUGGCCUUCGUGUUGUAGACAGCUUUCGCCUGGGACGAAGCGGGAGUGACGGUAAUGGGAAAAGAAGCACCGGCUAACUACGUG